GCUUAAUUCCUGGAAGCAGAAUUGAUUGUCAAACAAAUUGCAUCAAGGCAUUUGCUGCUUUGAAGUUGGGUUGAAGGGUACAUUCAGACUCAGAUCCAAUUCCACUCCUUCCAUGACAUCUUACAUGAUUUUCUUCUCCUGAUUCUUCAUAUUUCUUAAGGAAACAACUUGCCAUAAAGGAAAGGCAAGGACUUUGAAAUCAGACCUGGGCCUUUCCCCCACUUGAACAAGCAACUUGGUUCUUAGCCUCGGUUUCUACUCCUGUGAAAUGGGAGGUCAUAAUAUUUGCCUCAAAAAAAAAUUUUUUGUGCAAAUUAAGUAUACAAAAAGCCUACAGCACAAUACCCAACCUGGAGUAUCUCUUGCUGCUCAGAUUAGUGCUCCCCAGCUGAUUCUCCUGAUGGAACAUUUGAAGCAGCAAAUUUAUAUGUCUAAGCUACAGCCUGGCAGCAAUAACAGUCUUCUGAAUCAAACCUGUUGGCCUCAUCAGCACUCAAAUUGCACUGCUCUUUGUGAAGCCCCGUCUGCUCUAAUGGUGAUGGAAAUCUCGCCUGCCAUGCAGACCAGAGAUGGAAAAUUGAAAGGGGACUUGGGCAUGCAUCUGGAAAACAGCACUGUGAUGCCCCAGGAUAAAGCCAGAGCCUCAGCUGCCUGUGGUGUGAUCUGAGCCUGGGUCUGGGGGCAUUGGAGCAGCUGCCCUCCAAGCCAGACCUCCUGGGAACCCUUCUGGGAAACUGUCUUCACAGCUAUGAAUCUAAUAGUGAUGAUCCCUAAUCCCUUGCUUCCUUCAUGUUCCUGCUAAAAAUGGGGACACACUGGAAUAAUCGACUGUUGAAAGGGAAUAUUAAUCAUCUUUUAUUCCAGGCCUGCUUAUUUCUCAG
rnacentral:lncRNA from 1 species